rnacentral:rRNA from 1 species
AUUGAACGCUGGCGGCAGGCCUAACACAUGCAAGUCGAGCGGAUGAAGGGAGCUUGCUCCUGGAUUCAGCGGCGGACGGGUGAGUAAUGCCUAGGAAUCUGCCUGGUAGUGGGGGAUAACGUCCGGAAACGGGCGCUAAUACCGCAUACGUCCUGAGGGAGAAAGUGGGGAUCUUCGGACCUCACGCUAUCAGAUGAGCCUAGGUCGGAUUAGCUAGUUGGUGGGGUAAAGGCCUACCAAGGCGACGAUCCGUAACUGGUCUGAGAGGAUGAUCAGUCACAGUGGAAUUGAGCAAGCGGCAAGAAUACGAGGGGGGGCAGCAGUGGGAAAUUUGGGAGAAGGGGCGAAGGCUUGAACCAGCAAGGCGGGGGGUGUAAAGAAGGUUUUCGGAUUUAAAAGCAUUUUAAGUUGGGAGAAAGGGAAGUAAGUUAAUACUUUGCUGUUUGGACGUUACCAACAAAAAAAGCACGGGCUAACUUCGUG